UGAAAUUGAAACAAAAAAUAAAUGAAUUUGAAAGAAUAAGGAAGGAAGAAGGACCAAACGCGAAAAUAAACUAUUUUAAAAAAAGUUAUGCGUAUAGAGCAGGUCAAAAGUUGUCUGUCCCUUCCCCCAAUGCUAUCUUUUCCAUUACUUCAAUUUAAAACCUGUUUCAACAAUCUUACUUUCUAAAAAAAAAACAUUUUUUAUUCUUGUUUGUGUAAAAGCUAAAAGCUUUUGAAAACUCUCUCAACCCACACCUUCCCCUUUCGCCGGUCGCCACCUCUGUCAAAGACCCACGCGUUAUGGCCGCCGGCGACGCGAGCACAACCCCGGUGUUGUGAUAUGGUGGAGGAGUGCACGAUCGUGGGUGUGCUGGCGUGGAGGAGUGGUGGAGAACGUGGGUGCAUAGUGGUGCUGAAAAUGGUUGUGGGCUAGGCCUAAGGAAAUUUGGGCUUUUUGUUUUGGGUCAUUGUAAUUUGGCCUCUUUGGGAUUUUGGGUGGAAUUAGGUAGCCCGAGCAAAAUUUGGGUUUCACAGUAAUCAAAUUAAAUCGAAUAAAAUUUUUCAAUUCAAAAUAAAUAAAUAAAUAAAUAGGUCAAUUAAAA